rnacentral:rRNA from 1 species
GAUGAACGCUGGCGGCGUGCCUAAUACAUGCAAGUCGAGCGAACAGACGAGGAGCUUGCUCCUCUGACGUUAGCGGCGGACGGGUGAGUAACACGUGGAUAACCUACCUAUAAGACUGGGAUAACUUCGGGAAACCGGAGCUAAUACCGGAUAAUAUAUUGAACCGCAUGGUUCAAUGGUGAAAGACGGUUUUGCUGUCACUUAUAGAUGGAUCCGCGCCGCAUUAGCUAGUUGGUAAGGUAACGGCUUACCAAGGCAACGAUGCGUAGCCGACCUGAGAGGGGGAUCGGCCACACUUGAACUGAGACACGGUCCAGACUCCUACGGGGGGCAGCAGGAGGGGAUCUUCCGCAAUGGGCGAAAGCCUGACGGAGCAACGCCGCGUGGGUGAAGAAGGUCUUCGGAUCGUAAAACUCUGUUAUUAGGGAAGAACAAAUGUGUAAGUAACUAUGCACGUCUUGACGGUACCUAAUCAGAAAGCCACGGCUAACUACGU